rnacentral:rRNA from 1 species
UACGUAGGCAGCAAGCGUUGUUCGGAGUUACUGGGCGUAAAGGGUGUGUAGGCGGUCUCGUAAGUCUGGUGUGAAAUCUCCCGGCUCAACUGGGAGGGUGCGCCGGAAACUGCGAGGCUAGAGUGUGGGAUGGGAGAGUGGAAUUCCUGGUGUAGCGGUGAAAUGCGUAGAUAUCAGGAGGAACACCGGUGGCGAAGGCGGAUCUCUGGGCAGUAACUGACGCUGAGGAGCGAAAAGCGUGGGGAGCGAACAGG